rnacentral:rRNA from 1 species
UACCCAUUACUAGGGAAUAACCCAGCGAAAGUUGGCCUAAUGCCCUAUGUAGUCGUUUGAUCGCCUGAGAUUUCGACGAAAGAUUUAUCGGGUAUUGGGAUGGGGGAUGCGUCUGAUUAGCUUGUUGGCGGGGUAAAGGUCCACCAAGGCAACGAUCAGUAGGGGUUCUGAGAGGAAGGUCCCCCACAUUGGAACUGAGACACGGUCCAAACUCCUACGGGAGGCAGCAGUGAGGAAUAUUGGUCAAUGGGCGAGAGCCUGAACCAGCCAAGUAGCGUGCAGGAUGACGGCCCUAUGGGUUGUAAACUGCUUUUAUAUGGGAAUAAAGUGAGGGGACGUGUCCCUUAUUGCAUGUACCAUACGAAUAAGGACCGGCUAAUUCCGUGCCAGCAGCCGCGGUAAAU